GCUUACGGCCCUACCACCCUGAACAAGCCCGAUCUCGUUUGAUCUCGGAAGCUAAGCAGGGUCGGGCCUGGGUAGUACUUGGAUGGGAGACCGCCUGGGAAUACCAGGUGCUGUAAGUU